GCCUUCGUAGCUCAGUUGGUUAGAGCACCUGACUCUUAAUCAGGGUGUCCAGGGUUCGAAUCCCUGCGAGGGUA
rnacentral:tRNA from 1 species